rnacentral:lncRNA from 1 species
CUGCGCGCCAUCAAAGCGACUAUUUACAUAAUUCCUUCAAUACAACAGAUAGAUAAGGAAAAGAAAGAGAUUGGAUCAUUUAAAGUGGCCCUGAUGCUGUUGCCUAAGCAGAGUUGUUUAACGAGGUCAAUUAUGAUAAGAGAGAGGGCAGAAGAGGAGGAAGAGGAGGAGGAGGAGGAUGGUGAUGGGCGGGCUGGAGGCGUUGCUCAUGCCCUCCUCCUCCUGUAGGGCCCGCAGACAGUGUGAACUUGAACACUGACGGGCACAGCACUCAACGACAGUCGAGUCACACAUCACUGCCGUUGUAUGAGAUUUCUAGUGUCCGCUUAGUUCUGGUGUAGUUUUAGAAGAUCUUCUCUCACUAUGUCCAGACGUAAACUCGGCAGCAGACCGCAACACCUGAGCGCAAUGCAAGACGCUCCGGAUUCCACAGUCAUCCCCGCCGACUCUUCGCCGUCACCUGAGCAGAUCCCUCAGCCGGAUGAUGGAGGCCGUGACCUGUUGACAUGUGGCCAGUGUGGUCAAGCCUUCCCAUUGGCCCACAUCCUCACCUUCAUCCAGCACAAACAGGGCGGGUGCGGCACAGCCAGAGCCCGGCCUCAGGUCCACACUCCUCCCUCUCCGGCCAAUCGGACGCACCGAUUCGGCCAAGGAACGCAGGUGGAGGCGGGUUACGUGGAGCUCCGGCGUAUGACGGACAAGAGAUGGAAGGAAGAGCCAGGUGUGAGGGUGGAGGCCAACCGAGCCGUCCAGCUCAUUAGACUGCCGUUGCUGUGGCACUGAGGCCUUGGUGAGUUGGAGAGUUAGAGACGCCAAGCCUAAUUGUGUGGAAGAGAUAGGCAGUUCUGCUACACACACAAGCAAACGUACACUUAUGCAUGCACCCUGGGGGACGGCGGAAAGGCACCUGAGCACACCUGAGCAUCUCCUUAGCUCUGUCUCUCAGGUGAAGUGGCCAGGUAAACACAGCACAGUCAGGCCACCAAACUGCACAACUCCCAGAGCACACUUUCCUCAUUAUUCCAGCACUGUCAGUCAUAGCAGGUGCUGACAUGGUGUGUUAUUCCCAGAGUCCUUUGUGAAUUGCUUCGCUCCCGUCCUCUUACUGCGCUAUUCAAAAUAAAGUCUCAA